GGCAGACGGGNUGAGUAACGCGUUGGGAACCUUCCCAAUGGUACGGAAUAACUCAGGGAAACUCGAGGUAAUACCGUAUACGCCCGCAAGGGGAAAGAUUUAUCGCCAUUGGAUGGGCCCGCGUAGGAUUAGCUAGUUGGUGAGGUAAUGGCUCACCAAGGCGACGAUCCUUAGCUGGUUUGAGAGAAUGACCAGCCACACUGGGACUGAGACACGGCCCAGACUCCUACGGGAGGCAGCAGUGGGGAAUAUUGGACAAUGGGCGCAAGCCUGAUCCAGCCAUGCCGCGUGAGUGACGAAGGCCUUAGGGUUGUAAAGCUCUUUUGGCGGGGACGAUAAUGACGGUACCCGCAGAAUAAGCCCCGGCUAACUUCGUGCCAGCAGCCGCGGUAAUACGAAGGGGGCUAGCGUUGUUCGGAAUUACUGGGCGU
rnacentral:rRNA from 1 species